CCGGGCGACCGGCGCACGGGUGAGUAACACGUAUGGAACCUGCCCGCAGCAGGGGGAUAAGCGGAAGAAAUUCCGUCUAAUACCGCGUAACAACGUUGGGAGGCAUCUCCCGAUGUUUAAAGAUUUAUCGGCUGCGGAUGGCCAUGCGGCGCAUUAGCUAGUCGGCGGGGUAACGGCCCACCGAGGCGACGAUGCGUAGGGGUUCUGAGAGGAAGGUCCCCCACACUGGUACUGAGACACGGGCCAGACUCCUACGGAAGGCAGCAG
rnacentral:rRNA from 1 species